AGGGAUUCCCUUAGUAACAGGGAAUGAACAGGGAAGAGUCCAGCGCCGAAUUUCACGUUCUUUACGGGCGUUUGAAAAAUGUGGCGUUUAGGAAGUCACGUGCCUAGGUUGGGCUCUGCAGCAAGUCCCCCUGACCGGGGCUGUUACCCAGAGUGGGUGCGAGGCCCAUAGCUGCUAAGCCUGCUUCGGAUGUGACCUCUUGGGAGUCAGGUUGCUUGGGAGUGCAACCCCAAUUGGGUGGUAAACUCCACCUAAGACUAAAUACGGCCGUGAGACCGAUAGCAAACAAGUACCGUGAGGGAAAGUUGCAAAGAACUUUGAAGAGAGAGUUCAAGAGUACGUGAAACUGCUCAGAGGCAAACGGGUGGGCCCUCGAAAUCCUCCAGCAGGGGGAUUCAGUUAGGAAAAGCUGAGGUGAUGUGCGGCUGUCUAAACGGACCCUCUCUGGGGACGGGUUGCCAUCACGGUCUUGGUUUGACCUGACGCAUUUCCCCCUGCACAAGGACGCCGCAUCCGGUUGGGUAGCUGCGUGAGUCGGCCAUAAGAACAAGCAACGUAAGGUGGCCGGUGGUAUUGCUUCGGCUCUGCCGCCGGUUGUUAGACAGUUUGUUCGUGGCGCGACACCCGACUGAGGUUAAGUGGUUCCCUCAUGGGAACUAGCCGUCCCCUUCAUCUCGCAGCGGAUGCUUCAGCAAGUGUUUCACGGUGUCGCUUCCUCACUCUUGUAGUGUGUGGUGCUCCGUGAUCUCUGGUGGCUGAAAGCUACCCGCGGGGGUACCUACGGCUAGCGGCGAGUGAGUCGGUCACCCACCCGACCCGUCUUGAAACACGGACCAAGGAGUCUAACAUGUGCGCAAGUCACGGGGUCUUGAAUAGGCCCAGAGGCGCAAUGAAAGUGAAAGUCGGUCUUGCAUCGACUGCGUUGGGAUCUCUCGUCCUUUGUGGCGGGAGUGCACCAACGAUCCGUCCUAUCCGAUUUAUCGGUUGGCCGGAAUCGGAGCGUACACGUUGGGACCCGAAAGAUGGUGAACUAUGCUUGGGCAGGACGAAGCCGAAGGAAAUCUGGU
rnacentral:rRNA from 1 species